rnacentral:misc_RNA from 1 species
AUUCUCCUGUACAAUACUAAAUCAGUGCCAGGCUCUUCCUUCUCUUUAUCUGCAUCACGGUCAGUUUGGAACUGCUCUAGCUGUUUCUCAACUGCUGCUGGUACAAGAUGUGGAUGACUAAUCAAGAUUUGAGAUAAGAACUGCCCUAUAGGGGACUCGAACUGAAGCGGUGCUAUUGGAGCUAGUGACCCAGAAGAAUCUGAAGCCGGUGACGAUGAUGACGCUCUUACUAUUGCAGAUCUCCCCCUUCCAAAACCCAUUCUUCUAUGCCCCGAUUUUCCAUAUGAAACUAAGGAACAAUGCUUAUUAGUUGGGAAGUCAUAUUUGAUAGAAAAACGCACAAAAUGGGGGCCAUUGGCAGCGAGAAACACCGAUCCCCCAACAGAAGUUGCAGGUCUAUAAAUCCCAAACGAAGAUCCAACAACAGCCGCGGCUGCUGCAGCUGCUUCCAUCUUCAGUUCUCUGCAAACACCAGCGCCCAAACAAGAAAAAGAAAGGAUUUUUCGAUGUUUAAUAGACAAAUCAAUAAAAUGAAGCAGAAAUUAAGAUGAAAUGGUUAGGGAUGGACAGAGACUUCUGAGAAG